CUGAUAAAGCUGAUAUCUGCACUAUUAAACUCGAGAACACAACAGGACAGAUGCCAGUCAGACUGAAGCACAUGUAAGCGUCUUCAGUUUCUCAUCUCCGUGUCUGUGAAGUUUAUUUCGAGCGUUUGUCACAGUCUUGAACUGGAGAAUAAAGUUCAUGAACUCGCGCGAGUCUCAGCAGGAGCGCGCGCGCCACAAAUCGGCACGCGCCAUGUUUGUGUUUGAGAGCAAAUGGUUUGGAUUUCGCUUCACACCUUCGGAUCACCACAUAUGAUUAAACAAGAGCAUCUGAUUAUCACCAAAUCAUCAUAUUAAUAAAGCCAUACCUGUAAAUGCGCAAUCAGUCAGUUUUGCUAAGUUAUGAAAGGGAAUGUUCCCUGAACGUUUUAAAAACGUUUUUCUCGAACGUUAAGGGAAACAGAAACGUUACUUUUGAAUGUUCUGUAAACAUUUUGAAAUCUGGUAACAUUUAAAAAACCGUUAGGAAAACGUCAAACUAACUAAACGUUUCAUGAAUAAAUAAAUAAAUAAAUAAACAUUUAUACACGGAAGUGACGCAAUCAUUGCAAGCGCGCAAACUGUGCAGAAAUAUAUUGUGCCGUUGUUGAUCGUAUUAACGUAUAAAAACGAAAAAUAACAGAGAUUUCUCACACUUUAUAAAUAAAUAUUAACAACAUUAAUUAAUUAAAAGCACUUACAUGUGAAGGAAUGAGACAUUUGUCCUAUUUUUCAGUAUUUUCUGUGCGUAAACAAAUGAGAGACAAGCACAAGUCAUUAAAAAGAGUUGUUCUUAGUAAAUGUGUCAACUCGCCAUGUGUUGGCGGGAGUGUGACAUCACACCUUUACCAUCGCGCGUGUCAGACGCGAGGCGUGAACGCACCGUUUGGCACGAGCGCGCGUGCGGGUAUAUAAGGGCUCGAGACUUCAGUCUGAACAUCAUUCUGACCGGAAACACCCGCACGGAUUUACUAUUCACGAACAUCAUGGAGAAAAUCACUCUGACACACGGAUUAAACGCUGAAAUGAAACCCUGGAGACCUUGGAUCAGUAAACCCAGUAAUGGACGCAGAUCUGCCUCUCAUAAGCCUUAUGAAAGACCGUCAGCUGACGAGCAGCACUUUAAAGUGUCCACAGUCACACACCCUGUGAAGUUGUUCUGGCCCAAAUCCCAGUGUUUCGAUUACUUGUACCAGGACGCGGAGAUUCUCCUGCAAAAUUAUCCGGUUCAG